rfam:Triticum aestivum genome assembly, contig: Triticum_aestivum_CS42_TGACv1_scaffold_328839_4BS
CUAAUACUCCCUCCAUGCGAAAAUACUUGUCGCAGACAUGGAUGUAUCUAGACGUAUUUAAGUUCUAGAUACUUCUAUUUUUAUAUAUUUCUCUAACAAGUAUUUCCAGACAGAGGGAGUAUAAU